AGGAUGAACGCUGGCGGCGUGCUUAACACAUGCAAGUCGAACGAUGAAGGCUGGAGCUUGCUCUGGCUGGAUUAGUGGCGAACGGGUGAGUAACACGUGAGUAACCUGCCCCAGACUCUGGGAUAAGCGCUGGAAACGGCGUCUAAUACCGGAUACGAGCUUCCACCGCAUGGUGAGGAGCUGGAAAGAUUUCGGUCUGGGAUGGACUCGCGGCCUAUCAGCUUGUUGGUGAGGUAAUGGCUCACCAAGGCGACGACGGGUAGCCGGCCUGAGAGGGUGACCGGCCACGACUGGGACUGAGACACGGCCCAGACUCCACGGAGGCAGCAGUGGGGAAUA
rnacentral:rRNA from 1 species